rnacentral:rRNA from 1 species
UACAGAGGUCCCAAGCGUUGUUCGGAUUCACUGGGCGUAAAGGGUGCGUAGGUGGCAGGGUAAGUUUGAUGUGAAAUCUCCGGGCUUAACCCGGAAACUGCAUUGAAUACUAUCCGGCUAGAGGGUUGGAGGGGGACUGGAAUACUUGGUGUAGCAGUGAAAUGCGUAGAUAUCAAGUGGAACACCAGCGGCGAAGGCGAGUCCCUGGACAACUCCUGACACUGAGGCACGAAAGCUAGGGGAGCAAACAGG